rnacentral:tRNA from 1 species
CGGGAUGUGGCGCAGUUUGGUAGCGCACAAGUCUGGGGGACUUGGUGUCGCUGGUUCAAAUCCAGUCAUCCCGA